AGUAGACGCUGAGACUUUAGCUUGCUAAAGUUGGAAGAGUUGCGAACGGGUGAGUAACGCGUAGGUAACCUGCCUACUAGCGGGGGAUAACUAUUGGAAACGAUAGCUAAUACCGCAUAACAGCAUUUAACACAUGUUAGAUGCUUGAAAGGAGCAAUUGCUUCACUAGUAGAUGGACCUGCGUUGUAUUAGCUAGUUGGUGAGGUAACGGCUCACCAAGGCGACGAUACAUAGCCGACCUGAGAGGGUGAUCGGCCACACUGGGACUGAGACACGGCCCAGACUCCUACGGGAGGCAGCAGUAGGGAAUCUUCGGCAAUGGGGGCAACCCUGACCGAGCAACGCCGCGUGAGUGAAGAAGGUUUUCGGAUCGUAAAGCUCUGUUGUAAGAGAAGAACGUGUGUGAGAGUGGAAAGUUCACACAGUGACGGUAACUUACCAGAAAGGGACGGCUAACUACGUGCCAGCAGCC
rnacentral:rRNA from 1 species